AGAGUUUGAUCAUGGCUCAGAGUGAACGCUGGCGGCGUGCCUAACACAUGCAAGUCGAACGAGAACGGGUUAAAGUUUACUUUAACUGUCAGCUAAGUGGCGCACGGGUGAGUAAUAUAUAGUUAAUCUGCCCCAAAGAAGAGAAUAAUUGUUGGAAACGACUUGUAACUCUCUAUAUGCCUUUAUCACAUAAGUGAGCAAGGGAAACAUUUAUGGCUUUGGGAUGAGACUGUACGGUAUCAGUUAGUUGGUAAGGUAAUGGCUUACCAAGACAAUGACGCCUAACUGGUUUGAGAGGAUGAUCAGUCACACUGGAACUGAGACACGGUCCAGACUCCUACGGGAGGCAGCAGUGGGGAAUAUUGCACAAUGGAGGAAACUCUGAUGCAGCAACGCCGCGUGGAGGAUGACACAUUUCGGUGCGUAAACUCCUUUUAUAUGAGAAGAUAAUGACGGUAUCAUAUGAAUAAGCACCGGCUAACUCCGUGCCAGCAGCCGCGGUAAUACGGGGGGUGCAAGCGUUACUCGGAAUCACUGGGCGUAAAGAGCAUGUAGGCGGAUAGAUAAGUUGGAAGUGAAAUCCUAUGGCUUAACCAUAGAACUGCUUCCAAAACUGUCUAUCUAGAAUAUGGGAGAGGUAGAUGGAAUUUCUGGUGUAGGGGUAAAUCCGUAGAGAUCAGAAGAUACCGAUUGCGAAGCGAUCUACUGGACAUUAUGACGCUCAGAUGCGAAAGCGUGGGGAGCAAACAGGAUUAGAUACCCUGGUAGUCACGCCCUAAACGAUGCACACUAGUUGUUGCCUUGCUAGACAAGGCAGUAAUGCAGUUAACACAGUAAGUGUGCCGCCUGGGGAGUACGGUCGCAAGAUUAAAACUCAAAGGAAUAGACGGGGACCCGCACAAGCGGUGGAGCAUGUGGUUUAAUUCGACGAUACGCGAAGAACCUUACCUGGCCUUGACAUAGAAAGAACUUACUAGAGAUAGUUUGGUGCUAGCUUGCUAGAACUUUCAUACAGGUGCUGCACGGCUGUCGUCAGCUCGUGUCGUGAGAUGUUGGGUUAAGUCCCGCAACGAGCGCAACCCUCGUGUUUAGUUACUAACAGUUCGGCUGAGGACUCUAGACAGACUGCCUACGCAAGUAGGAGGAAGGUGAGGACGACGUCAAGUCAUCAUGGCCCUUACGGCCAGGGCUACACACGUGCUACAAUGGGGCAUACAAAGAGCCGCAAUACCGUGAGGUGGAGCAAAUCUCAUAAAAUGCCUCCCAGUUCGGAUUGUAGUCUGCAACUCGACUACAUGAAGUUGGAAUCGCUAGUAAUCGUAGAUCAGCUAUGCUACGGUGAAUACGUUCCCGGGUCUUGUACUCACCGCCCGUCACACCAUGGGAGUUGAUUUCAUUCGAAGCGGGGAUGCUAAAAUAGCUACCUUCCACAGUGGAAUUAGCGACUAGGGUGAAGUCGUAACAAGGUAACCGUA
rnacentral:rRNA from 1 species